rnacentral:SRP_RNA from 1 species
GCCGGGCAUGGUGGUGCAUGCUUGUAAUCCCAGCUACUCAGGAGGCUGAGGCAGGAGAAUCGCUUGAACCCGGGAGGCAGAGGUUGCAGUGAGCCAAGAUCAUGCCACUGCCCUCCAGCCUGGGCAACAAAGUGAGACUCUGUCUCAA